GAUGAACGCUGGCGGCGUGCUUAACACAUGCAAGUCGAACGAGAAGUGAAGACGGAACCCUUCGGGCGGAAGGCUUUAUUUCGAGUGGCGGACGGGUGAGUAACGCGUGGGUAACCUGCCUCAUACAGGGGGAUAACAGUUGGAAACGACUGUUAAUGCCGCAUAAGACCACAGCACCGCAUGGUGCGGGGGUAAAAACUCCGGUGGUAUGAGAUGGACCCGCGUUCGAUUAGCCAGUUGGCGGGGUAACGGCCCACCAAAGCGACGAUCGAUAGCCGAUCUGAGAGGAUGACCGGCCACAUUGGGACUGAGACACGGCCCAAACUCCUACGGGAGGCAGCAGUGGGGAAUAUUGCACAAUGGGGGAAACCCUGAUGCAGCGACGCCGCGUGAGUGAAGAAGUAUUUCGGUAUGUAAAGCUCUAUCAGCAGGGAAGAAAAUGACGGUACCUGAGUAAGAAGCCCCGGCUAACUACGUG
rnacentral:rRNA from 1 species